rnacentral:rRNA from 1 species
CCUACGGGUGGCUGCAGUAAGGAAUAUUGGUCAAUGGAGGAAACUCUGAACCAGCCAUCCCGCGUGAAGGAUGAAGGGGCUCUGCCUUGUAAACUUCUUUUGUCUGGGUCGAAAAAGCUCGAUUUAUCGAGAACUGACGGUACCAGAAGAAUAAGCACCGGCUAACUCCGUGCCCGCAGCCGCUGUAAUACGGAGGGUGCAGGCGUUAUCCGGAUUCACUGGUGCUAAAGCGGCCUAGGACGUCAGAGGUGAAAGGCUGUGGCUUAACCAUGGAAUUGCCAUUGAGACUGCAGAGCUUGAAUGAGGUUGAGGUUGGCGGAAUGUGACAUGUAGCGGUGAAAUGCUUAGAUAUGUCAUGGAACACCGAUUGCGAAGGCAGCUGACUGGACCUAUAUUGACGCUGAGGCACGAAAGCGUGGGGAGCGAACAGGAUUAGAUACCCCUGUAGUC